GAUGAACGCUGGCGGCGUGCCUAAUACAUGCAAGUCGAGCGAACAGACGAGGAGCUUGCUCCUCUGACGUUAGCGGCGGACGGGUGAGUAACACGUGGAUAACCUACCUAUAAGACUGGGAUAACUUCGGGAAACCGGAGCUAAUACCGGAUAAUAUUUUGAACCACAUGGUUCAACAGUGAAAGACGGUCUUGCUGUCACUUAUAGAUGGAUCCGCGCCGCAUUAGCUAGUUGGUAAGGUAACGGCUUACCAAGGCAACGAUGGUUAGCCGACCGGAGAGGGUGAACGGCCAGACGGGAAGAGAGAAACGGCCCAGACACUGAGGGUGGGAAGCGGUAGGGAAUCUUCCGGAAAGGAGCAAUGCCGGAUGGAGCACCGCGGGGGGAGUGAAGAAGGUCUUCGGACGGUAAAGUUCUGUAAUAUGGGAGUAAGUAAUGUGUAAUUAACUAGGAACGUCUUGACGGUACCUAACCAGAAAGCCCCGGCUAACUACGUG
rnacentral:rRNA from 1 species